CACCGCGGUUAUACGAGGGGCCCAAGUUGAUAAACACCGGCGUAAAGAGUGGUUAAGAUGAACUAAAUACUAAAGCCGAACGCCCUCAAAGCUGUUAUACGCAUCCGAAGGUAAGAAGUUCAACCACGAAAGUGGCUUUAUACUGUCUGAUCCCACGAAAGCUAAGGCA
rnacentral:rRNA from 1 species